CAAGAAAUUAUUUAAUACGUAGUUCGGCAAACAAACCACAGGUUUCUCUAACCUGAGAUCUGAUAGACUCAAGCAGACUUCAAACCUGCUUCAGAGAUAUGUUUCAGCAAUGUUAUAGCCAAAACAUGGUAACAGUGUUACCUUCUUGACGAGUUAGAAAAAUAUUGACACAAUUUUUAUAAUCCAAAAAAAAAUGUUUAACAUGUAGCUUGGCCAAUAAACCACAGGUUUCUCUAACCUGAGGUCUGAUAAACUCAAGCUGUCUUCAAUCUUGCAUCAGAGAUUUGUUUCAGCAACGUUAUAGCCAAAACAUAGUAACAGUGUUAAAUUCUUGAUGCGUUACAAAAAUAUUGAUACAUUUUUUUAUAAUCCAAAAAAAAUGUUUGACAUGUAGCUUGGCCAAUAAACCACAGGUUUCUCUAAUCUGAGAUCUGAUAAACCCAAGAUGUCUUCAAUCUUGUAUCAGAGAUAUGUUUCAGCAAUGUUAUAGCCAAAACAUGGUAACAGUGUUAAAUUCUUGACGAGUUACAAAAAUAUUGAUAUGAUUUUUUAUAAUCCAAAAAAAUGUUUAACAUGUAGCUUGGCCAAUAAACCAUAGGUUUCUCUAAUCUGAGAUCUGAUAAACACAAGCUGUCUUCAAUCUUGUAUCAGAGAUAUGUUUCAGCAAUGUUAUAGCCAAAACAUGGUAACAGUGUUAAAUUCUUGACGAGUUACAAAAAUAUUGAUAUAAUUUUUAUAAUCCACAAAAAUGUUUAACAUGUAGCUUGGCCAAUAAACCAUAGGUUUCUCUAACCUGAGGUCUGAUAAACUCAAGUUGUCUUCAAUCUUGCAUCAGAGAUUUGUUUCAGCAACAUUAUAGCCAAAACAUAGUAACAGUAUUAAAUUCUUGAUGCGUUACAAAAAUAUUGAUACAUUUUUUUAUAAUCCAAAAAAAAUGUUUGACAUGUAGCUUGGCCAAUAAACCACAGGUUUCUCUAACCUGAGGUCUGAUAAACUCAAGCUGUCUUCAAUCUUGCAUCAGAGAUUUGUUUCAGCAACGUUAUAGCCAAAACAUAGUAACAGUGUUAAAUUCAUGAUGCGUUACAAAAAUAUUGAUACAAUUUUUUAUAAUCCAAAAAAAAUUGUUUAACAUGUAGCUUGGCCAAUAAACCACAGGUUUCUCUAAUCUGAGAUCUGAUAAACCCAAGCUGUCUUCAAUCUUGUAUCAGAGAUAUGUUUCAGCAAUGUUAUAGCCAAAACAUGGUAACAGUAUUAAAUUCUUGACGAGUUACAAAAAUAUUGAUAUAAUUUUUAUAAUCCAAAAAAAUGUUUAACAUGUAGCUUGGCCAAUAAACCAUAGGUUUCUCUAACCUGAGGUCUGAUAAACUCAAGUUGUCUUCAAUCUUGCAUCAGAGAUUUGUUUCAGCAACAUUAUAGCCAAAACAUAGUAACAGUAUUAAAUUCUUGAUGCGUUACAAAAAUACUGAUACAUUUUUUUUAUAAUCCAAAAAAAUGUUUAACAUGUAGCUUGGCCAAUAAACCACAGGUUUCUCUAACCUGAGGUCUGAUAAACUCAAGCUGUCUUCAAUCUUGCAUCAGAGAUUUGUUUCAGCAACGUUAUAGCCAAAACAUAGUAACAGUGUUAAAUUCAUGAUGCGUUACAAAAAUAUUGAUACAAUUUUUUAUAAUCCAAAAAAAAUUGUUUAACAUGUAGCUUGGCCAAUAAACCACAGGUUUCUCUAAUCUGAGAUCUGAUAAACCCAAGCUGUCUUCAAUCUUGUAUCAGAGAUAUGUUUCAGCAAUGUUAUAGCCAAAACAUGGUAACAGUAUUAAAUUCUUGACGAGUUACAAAAAUAUUGAUAUAAUUUUUAUAAUCCAAAAAAAUGUUUAACAUGUAGCUUGGCCAAUAAACCAUAGGUUUCUCUAAC
rnacentral:lncRNA from 1 species